rnacentral:hammerhead_ribozyme from 1 species
GUCGCUGACGUGUCCCAAAUAGAACGAAACGCGCAUCCUGGAU